UGAGCAGAUCAGAUGAUCGCUGGUCCGGACCACCGGACGGGAGGAAAGUCCGAGCUCCACAGGGCAGGAUGGUCGCUAACGGCGACUGGGGGAGACCCUAAGGAAAGUGCCACAGAAAAUAUACCGCCGGCCGGGGGCAACCAGGACGGUAAGGGUGAAAAGGCGAGGUAAGAGCUCACCGCUUUCCUGGCGACAGGGAAGGCAUGGUAAACCCCAUCCGGAGCAAGACCGAAUAGGAGAACGAUUGAGGGCUGCCCGCCCGAUGUUCUCGGGUAGGUUGCUUGAGGCAGCGGGCAACUGCUGUCCCAGAGGAAUGAUCAUCGCCGCCCUGCGGGGUAACCUGGGGGCGGAACAGAACUCGGCUUACGAUCUACUCAGGCA
rnacentral:RNase_P_RNA from 1 species